CGCGUAGGCGGACAGUUAAGUCGGGGGUGAAAGCCCGGGGCUCAACCUCGGAAUUGCCUUCGAUACUGGCUGUCUUGAGUACGGGAGAGGUGUGUGGAACUCCGAGUGUAGAGGUGAAAUUCGUAGAUAUUCGGAAGAACACCAGUGGCGAAGGCGACACACUGGCCCGUUACUGACGCUGAGGCGCGAAAGCGUGGGGAGCAAACAGGAUUAGAUACCCUGGUAGUCCACGCUGUAAACGAUGAGUGCUAGUUGUCGGCAUGCAUGCAUGUCGGUGACGCAGCUAACGCAUUAAGCACUCCGCCUGGGGAGUACGGUCGCAAGAUUAAA
rnacentral:rRNA from 2 species